GACGAACGCUGGCGGCGUGCCUAAUACAUGCAAGUCGAGCGCAGGAAACUGACGGAACUCUUCGGAGGGAAGGCAGUGGAAUGAGCGGCGGACGGGUGAGUAACACGUAAGGAACCUGCCUCAAGGAUUGGGAUAACUCCGAGAAAUCGGAGCUAAUACCGGAUAGUUCAACGGACCGCAUGGUCCGCUGAUGAAAGGCGCUUCGGCGUCACCUUGAGAUGGCCUUGCGGUGCAUUAGCUAGUUGGUGGGGUAACGGCCCACCAAGGCGACGAUGCAUAGCCGACCUGAGAGGGUGAUCGGCCACACUGGGACUGAGACACGGCCCAGACUCCUACGGGAGGCGGCAGUAGGGAAUCUUCCACAAUGGACGAAAGUCUGAUGGAGCAACGCCGCGUGAGUGAUGUAGGUUUUCGGAUCGUAAAACUCUGUUGUAAGGGAAGAACACGUACGAGAGGAAAUGCUCGUACCUUGACGGUACCUUACGAGAAAGCCACGGCUAACUACGUGCCAGCAGCCGCCGCCGUAA
rnacentral:rRNA from 1 species